ensembl:processed_transcript
GCACAACACUGAGAUGAAGGCAAAGUCACGAUGAAAAGUUAAACGUUUAACGUUAAGGUAAGCUCUGGUCUUCAUGAACUGAUGCUACCAAUCUCUCCUCACUUGAUUAUUCAAGCUCAGAUUGUGAUGGACCUGGAAUGUGACACCAGUUACUCUUAAGUCUAGAACCAAAUAAAGCACAGAUGUGGAGGGAUCUGCAACUAAACUAACUGGAGAAAAUUUUUUUUUUUCACAGUGUGGGUGAACAUACUACCUUGAUGUCCAACAAAGGCUGCACAAGAUCUCAUAUGAUGGCACAUAUUCUGUCCUGUCUACAUCUCUGACAACCUGGAAGUGCUUCGACAUCAACUAACAUCAAAGAGGUUGUAACAGUCCCUUUUCCACAACAUCAUUUGACCUUCAUCAUUUUCUGUCUUGUAGCAGU